CCUACGGGCGGCAGCAGUGAGGAAUCUUGGUCAAUGGCCGGAAGGCUGAACCAGCCAUGCCGCGUGAAGGUCAGUGCCCUAUGGGCGUUAAACUUCUUUUGUGCGGGAGCAAUAAUGGUCACGUGUGGCCAGACGAGAGUACCGUACGAAUAAGCAUCGGCUAACUCCGUGCCAGCAGCCGCGGUAAUACGGGGGAUGCAAGCGUUAUCCGGAUUUAUUGGGUUUAAAGGGUGCGUAGGCUGUGAGGUAAGUCAGCGGUGAAAUGCCCCCGCUCAACGGGGUGAAGUGCCAUUGAUACUGCCUGGCUGGAAGGCGGAUGCCGUGGGAGGAAUGUGUGGUGUAGCGGUGAAAUGCAUAGAUAUCACACAGAACACCGAUUGCGAAGGCAUCUCACGAAUCCGCGAUUGACGCUGAUGCACGAAAGCGUGGGUAUCAAACAGGAUUAGAUACCCGAGUAGUC
rnacentral:rRNA from 1 species